UUCCAACGUAUCCUAAACUUA
rnacentral:piRNA from 1 species